ensembl:lncRNA
CGUGUAAGGGUGCAAACACCAGCAACAUGCUAAAGCAUUUGUCUACCAAGCACGGAAUUAAGUCCCAAGAAUGCCAUGUGUUCAAAAGCCUGCAUACGAGUCAAACAAGCUCCACUGUGUCCUCCGUUGACAACGUUGCCACUGUCCCAAAACGCUGCAACCUGAUUGAUAACUGCAGAUGCAAGUUUGGUUGUAAGACAGGCAAAUGCAGUUGCCGCAGUGCUGGCCUACUCUGUACAAUGGCCUGUAAAUGUAGAGCUACUGCUGAUCAGCCAUGCCAUAACACUAGAGAAGAAGACCAGGAAUAGAAUAUGUGAGGAAGGUACGUUUUAAUUAUAUUUCUAUUUCAUUUUUAUUAUUAGUUUAUUUUGCUCUGACACACUGGCACAUGUCAUUAGGG